UGUGCACGAAAAAUUGACAAUCGAAGAACUCCAGACCUGUUGGUUAUGGAAUACUGGAGUAAUAACGGCUGAUGAUUCAUCAAACAAAAAAAGGGCCGAGGCAUGUUUCAUAUUGAAGUAACCGCUGAAAGGAAAAAAUGCUUCUUUACUGCUGAAGAUACCCUCAUUGCAAAUCGAAAUUCCCUAAUCCCAAGGAUGCUUUGUGCCAACUCUUGCUGUACAUGUAUUCAGCGCUGAAGUUCUAGAAGGAAAUUGAAAAAAAAAAUAUUAAGUUUCAAGAGGGAACGGAUACCGGACAACGGGUGAUAUGAAAAGACCACUCAAGCUUAUUGCUCAGACAGUCAGUUUUUAGAGUGGAUCGGAAAGACAGAGUGAAGAGACAUGUAUCGCACUAAAGCUGAGUUGCAUUUAAGGACGACGGACCUAAUUCGAAAUUUCGCGCCACUGCGCAGAAAACCGCGCAUAUGCCUUGAAUCAGAUUGACGUAACUAUGUAUCGCAAAAGAUAAAAAAAAAAAUAUACAUUUUUAAUUCUUUUGAAGAGUUUUAAACGUUUCCUCUCAAUUCCAGAAUAUUGUAAACAUUUCGAUUUAUAUUCAUUUGUUGAUUCUAUAAAUAAAUUAUUUUUUACGACAUUUACCGAAAGCGCAUAUCAACAAUAGCCUGGUCCCCUGGCUCAUCCUUGCAGCGACGCGGAGUACACGAAGCAAAACAGGGACAGGGAACCAGGCUAGGUGUACAAAAACACAUAUGUAUGAUGUUAAUAAAAAAGAAAGAAACGACGAGAGAACGCUUUAUGUAUACUACGGCCAAAAUGUACGAUCCUCUCCCAUUCUUGGUUCUAUGCCUUUGAGCGGACUCUGAAUGGUAACCGUGGCUUGAGACGAUGAUCAUGAAGUUCAAGUUGAUGUUUCUGACGAAGACGAUUAACUGUGGUACCCGUAUUAUUUUUGAAGACGUUUUAAGACUCAGGGGUAUGUCAUCGAUUUGAAAGAACGAUCUUUUCUGAAGAAUGUCUAAGAUAUAUAUUGGCAUCUCAUUCUGGAGUUUAACUUAAUGAACAUAAAAAGUUUUUAAGUGCAUGUUUGUAAACAUGUAAAUGAAGUAGAAAACACACCAAGAACCAGGAAUGCCAGGACCUAAGCGAAAACUUUCUGAUUGACCAUGUUGACAUCAACAAUGAACAUUUGGAACAGAAAACAAUCUACAGAGAUACAUGUACUGAAGAAAUACCUGCUGUUGAAAAAAAACCCUAGCUAAGACAUGUUUGUUUUUAUUUAGUACAAACAACAUGAUCAGGUAGAAACAACAAUAUAACUCAAAUUGCUGCAUCUAUUGGAGCACCCAUCUUUAGCAGAAAUUUUACUUGAAUUUACAGCAUUUCCAUCAAGGCAUCAAAGCAUGAAUUGAUCGUUGUAACUUGCAUGUAACAUCCCUUGCAAGAUUAUUUAACCCUUAUGAGAAAUCACAAAAUGCAGUGAAUGACUUGAAAUUUAGACCUUUGCUCAACACUAAGGCCCGGUGAGGAGUGAAGGUUCUUUAGCGUGCCAAUGCCUGCUCUUACAUGGGACCUCAACUUUUACUGUCUCAUCCAAGACCUCCAACUUUCACUUUAUUGUGCCAAGUGCUAGUGUUGCCGUUUGGGCUGGAACCCUCGACCCAAGAACCAGGAGGGAGCAUUCCACAAAAUGGGUGAUCACAACACCCAUACAGUGAAGAUUCUGAAAUGUUCAAAUCAUGACCCCCAGGGGUAGGGUGUGGCCAUAAUUGGGAACCUCCAAGCAUAAUUAAGAGUUGCAAUUACAUGUAUUUUAUAAUGGCUCGUUGUGUACUCGUACAUAGGAAGAACAAUGAAGACGGAAAGGUGUAUGUAACAAAAGUAAAUGAAAACUUAGCUCAAGCAAUUUUCGGGAGGAGUGAUUUUGUUUUUUCAAAUACAUGAGCAUGUCAUAAUGAUUUAAAAAGCGUUAAAAGCUGCUUUUUUGUACAUCUUCCACAAAUGUAUUGUUACAGCAUCAGAAUACAUGAUUAGCCACUGGGAAAACUAUUCAUAUAAAACAAAUUGCAUAUUGUUGUUGUACAUUUACACAGCAUGUACAUUACUCAUUACAUUUACAGAUGUGAUGAAAUAUUUAGGUACUCUACAUGUAGUUACUUGUACGGUUGGUGUGAACCGGUUUUACCAAACAUGAAAACAUUUUUGUUAUUUCUCAUCAGAAAAAAAUAAAACUGUAAUAAAAUUUUGGUUAAAAAAAUUAAAGUUUGUAUACCUAAUAGGUAAAUGAAGUGAAAUCAUUAUAAACAAACACAAAAUAUUUUUGUAUAUUUCAGCACAUUUUGAUACUGAAUGGUACUUUUUCAACGCUUCAUAGUUACAUCUUUUAUA